UGGGGAAUUUUGGACAAUGGGCGCAAGCCUGAUCCAGCCAUGCCGCGUGCGGGAAGAAGGCCUUCGGGUUGUAAACCGCUUUUGUCAGGGAAGAAAUCUUCUGAGUUAAUACCUCGGGAGGAUGACGGUACCUGAAGAAUAAGCACCGGCUAACUACGUGCCAGCAGCCGCGGUAAUACGUAGGGUGCAAGCGUUAAUCGGAAUUACUGGGCGUAAAGCGUGCGCAGGCGGUUUUGUAAGACAGAGGUGAAAUCCCCGGGCUCAACCUGGGAACUGCCUUUGUGACUGCAAGGCUUGAGUGCGGCAGAGGGGGAUGGAAUUCCGCGUGUAGCAGUGAAAUGCGUAGAUAUGCGGAGGAACACCGAUGGCGAAGGCAAUCCCCUGGGCCUGCACUGACGCUCAUGCACGAAAGCGUGGGGAGCAAACAGGAUUAGAUACCCUGGUAGUCCACGCCCUAAACGAUGUCAACUGGUUGUUGGGAAGGUUCCUUCUCAGUAACGUAGCUAACGCGUGAAGUUGACCGCCUGGGGAGUACGGCCGCAAGGUUGAAACUUAAA
rnacentral:rRNA from 1 species